GAUGAAGAACGCAGUGAAAUGCGAUAAGUAAUGUGAAUUGCAGAAUCCAGUGAAUCAUCGAAUCUUUGAACGCACAUUGCGCCCGCCAGCAUUCUGGCGGGCAUGCCUGUUCGAGCGUCAUUUCAACCCUCGCAGCCCAUCUGGGCAGCGGUGUUGGGGACCGGCACCACCGGCGAAGCCCUUAGGGGCCCAGCCGGCGCCGCCCCCGAAAUACAGUGGCGGUCUCGCUGCAGCCUCCCUUGCGUAGUAGCACACCUCGCACCGGAGCGCAGCGCGGCCACGCCGUAAAACCCCCGACUUUCUGAGUUUGACCUCGAAUCAGGUAGGAAUACCCGCUGAACUUAAGCAUAUCAAUAAGCGGAGGA
rnacentral:misc_RNA from 1 species